rnacentral:tRNA from 1 species
AUGAAAGCCAAAAUAGAGGCGCCUAGCUGUUAAUUAGGAGAAUGUAAUUGUAAGCUACUCAUUUAAUAGUAUUUAAGUAGGU